rnacentral:rRNA from 1 species
UACAGAGGUCUCGAGCGUUGUUCGGAUUCAUUGGGCGUAAAGGGUGCGUAGGUGGCGCCAUAAGUCAGGUGUGAAAUCUCGGGGCUCAACCCCGAAACUGCAUUUGAUACUGUGGUGCUCGAGUACUGGAGAGGAGAUUGGAAUUUACGGUGUAGCAGUGAAAUGCGUAGAUAUCGUAAGGAAGACCAGUGGCGAAGGCGAAUCUCUGGACAGUUACUGACACUGAGGCACGAAGGCCAGGGGAGCAAACGGG